UGAGCUUGAUCCUGCUAGAGUUUGGAUCAUGGCUCAGAUUGAACGCUGGCGGCAGGCCUAACACAUGCAAGUCGAGCGGUAACAGGAAGGAAGCUUGCUUUCUUUGCUGACGAGCGGCGGACGGGUGAGUAAUGCCUGGGAAAUUGCCCUGAUGUGGGGGAUAACCAUUGGAAACGAUGGCUAAUACCGCAUGAUACCUUCGGGUCAAAGAGGGGGACCUUCGGGCCUCUCGCGUCAGGAUAUGCCCAGGUGGGAUUAGCUAGUUGGUGAGGUAAUGGCUCACCAAGGCGACGAUCCCUAGCUGGUCUGAGAGGAUGAUCAGCCACACUGGAAGUGAGACACGGUCCAGACUCCUGCGGGAGGCACGCAGUGGGGAAUAUUGCACAAUGGGCGCAAUGCCUGAUGCACGCCAUGCCGCGUGUAUGAAGAAGGCCUUCGGGUUGUAAAGUACUUUCAGUGGUGAGGAAGGGAGUGUGGUUAAUAGCCAUAUUCUUGACGUAGCCACAGAAAAGCCCGA
rnacentral:rRNA from 1 species